UGAGGAAUAUUGGUCAAUGGACGCAAGUCUGAACCAGCCAAGUAGCGUGCAGGACGACGGCCCUAUGGGUUGUAAACUGCUUUUAUGUGGGGAUAAAGUGCGUGACGUGUCAUGCAUUGCAGGUACCACAUGAAUAAGGACCGGCUAAUUCCGUGCCAGCAGCCGCGGUAAUACGGAAGGUCCGGGCGUUAUCCGGAUUUAUUGGGUUUAAAGGGAGCGUAGGCUGUCUAUUAAGCGUGUUGUGAAAUAUACCGGCUCAACCGGUGGCUUGCAGCGCGAACUGGUCGACUUGAGUAUGCAGGAAGUAGGCGGAAUUCAUGGUGUAGCGGUGAAAUGCUUAGAUAUCAUGACGAACUCCGAUUGCGCAGGCAGCUUACUGUAGCAUAACUGACGCUGAUGCUCGAAAGUGCGGGUAUCAAACAGG
rnacentral:rRNA from 1 species